rnacentral:tRNA from 1 species
GAGGCUAUAGCUCAGUGGUAGAGCGCGUGCUUAGCAUGCACAAGGUCCUGAGUUCCAUCCCCAGUACCUCCA